UCCUAAAAAAAACACCACCCUAUAGUUGAAGCAACUCCUCCCUGCAGUUUUCCGGGAGCGGCUGGGCCGGGGGGAUGUGCGGGGACCCACGGCACUGAUGCGGGGAUGGAGAGCCCGGCUGCCCAUGCCCAGCCUGGAGAGCACCGGGCACCGAGGGGAACGCAAGAAAAACCGGCUGAGCACCGGGGCAGCGUGACCAGACCGGCCUGGCUCCGGCACCGUGCUGAAGGGAGAACAGAAAAUAAACUGCAGAAAGAGGGAAAAGCCGGUUAUGUGCUCAGCUGGCUGGAGCAGGGCUCUGUGCGCAGCACGGCCAGGGGAGGCUCCGGGAAGUGCCUGGGAUGGGCUGGGAUGGGCUGGGAUGGGAUGGACUGAGGAAAACGGAGUGGCAGGGGCUGCUUGCUGGCCGAGCAUCUGUCCUGAAGUGCGAGAUGCUCCUUUCAUCCAGAAGGGGAGAGAAAACCGUCCCCUGGGCUGGGUUGUGGCUGCAGGGACCUGAAGCACGCCUCUCCUCUUGUUCUCCUGAUCUUUGGAAGACGGUUCUUACUCUCCUUUAGAAAUGCAAUUUCAAAAUCGCUCAGUCUUUUGAUAUUUGAAGAGUUUGGGUUUCAGGUUUGGGGAUUUUUGCUCUGCUUUUUGCUCUGGAAUUUUUGCUCUGCUUUUUCUGUAUUACCAAAUUUCAUGUGUUUUCCACAGGAGAUUUACAAGCACAAACUGCUGCCGGUGCUGCUGUGGCCAGCAAGGAUCAGUGGGAGGGAAGGAUGUGCUCCCCACACUGCUUGGCUUUGGGGGACAGCAGCUGUGCCCCCCUUCUGUACCCCUUGGGGACAAAACUGAUAAAAUGAUUGUGCUUGGAUCCCUUCAGGCUCUAGACCAGGGGUGUAAAGAUGGGAAAUUUUAGGGUGCUGCCUGUACUGAAAGGUUUGGGGAGCAUGGGGCGGGCAGGGGCUCUGCUCAGAGGUGCUGGGUUGGAGUCUGCAGGAUGGGAAGCCACAGAGCUGAUCCUUCUCAGGAAGAGAGAAGGAGCUUUCAGGACAUGAAAUUGGGUGCAAACAGGGGGAAUUGAGUGCCAGCUCGCCGGUCAGGUGGCUUAGGGGAGAGCAAAGAGGGGUGUGCUCUGCCUGGGGACACCCUGGUCCUCAUCCCCUCCACGUCCAGGUCACCUGGCAGCUUCCCACACAGUCUAAACCCAAUAAGAGGCAACCGCCUGGGACUAACAAUAGGACUCUUCUUCUUCCUUUUUUUAAACUUACUUUUAAAAGGAUUGCCCAGAUGAAGUUAAACCCCAGAAUUCAGCAAGCCUGGAGGAAUCCCCAGGAGCAAGCCCUGAGGAGGACACUCACGAACUCACUUCAAACUCCAAGAGCAGCUUCUGACAAGCACUCCAUCAAAACCUGGCUGAACAACUCAGUGGUUCUCCAUAAUGCCACAGUGAUGCUUCCCUGCUCAUCCACGGCUUGGAGUUCCUCUGGAGGAGGGGAUCCCACUGAAGCUUCUCCCACACACAUCCCUGGGCAUCUCCUGCUGUUCUGCUUUCUUGGCUCGUGGCUCUUCCUGCCCAGCCGGGGUCCCUGGGCUGCAGGCCACUGACAGCUCCAGCGGAACCAAAUUACCAUUUGGAAUUACCAUGAGAUAAUUGGCCUCAUUUACUAUUUAAAGAUGGGGGAAAAAAAAGCUCCUUCUUCCAGACAACUGCAGUGGAGAAAUGUUCAGGCACAGAUGAUGUCCCAAAACAUAUCAUUAAAGCUUUAAAUAAAUGUAUGAUGACAUCUCAGAGUAAGAAAUACUUCCUUUGUAUUUCAGAUAGGAGCCAGCCAGGUCCUUCUCAAAGUCAUUUUUUAAUAAACAAAGGAUAUUCCUCUUGUUUUUCCAGACACGCAACUUACAAUAUUUGGAGUUGUAAGUAUGUAAUUUAAAUUCUUUCACACAUUAUGGAUUUAAAACCCAUCUUCCUUAGAGACAUCUUUUACUUGCCAAAAGGUAAAUGCCUCUGUUUGCUGCUUUUUGUCUUUUUAACUUGAAAUGCUGCA